rnacentral:tRNA from 1 species
GCUCCCUUCGUCUAGUCCGGUCAAGGAUAAGAGCUUCUCGAGCUCUGGACACGGGUUCAAAUCCCGUAGGGAGCA